rnacentral:rRNA from 1 species
CUAGCGGCAGGCUUAACACAUGCAAGUCGAGGGGUAACAUUGUGCUUGCACAGAUGACGACCGGCGCACGGGUGCGUAACGCGUAUAGAACCUACCUUUUACAGGGGGAUAGCCUUUAGAAAUGAAGAUUAAUACCCCAUAGUAUUGCGAGAUGGCAUCAUUUUGUAAUUAAAGAUUUAUCGGUAAAAGAUGGCUAUGCGUCCUAUUAGUUAGUUGGUAAGGUAACGGCUUACCAAGACUAUGAUAGGUAGGGGUCCUGAGAGGGAGAUCCCCCACACUGGUACUGAGACACGGACCAGACUCCUACGGGAGGCAGCAGUGAGGAAUAUUGGGCAAUGGAGGCAACUCUGACCCAGCCAUGCCGCGUGCAGGAAGACUGCCCUAUGGGUUGUAAACUGCUUUUAUACAGGAAGAAACACUGGUACGUGUACGAGCUUGACGGUACUGUAAGAAUAAGGACCGGCUAACUCCGUGCCAGCAGCCGCGGUAAUACGGAGGGUCCGAGCGUUAUCCGGAAUCAUUGGGUUUAAAGGGUCCGCAGGCGGUCAAUUAAGUCAGAGGUGAAAUCCCAUAGCUUAACUAUGGAACUGCCUUUGAUACUGGUUGACUUGAGUCAUAUGGAAGUAGAUAGAAUGUGUAGUGUAGCGGUGAAAUGCAUAGAUAUUACACAGAAUACCGAUUGCGAAGGCAGUCUACUACGUAUGUACUGACGCUCAUGGACGAAAGCGUGGGGAGCGAACAGGAUUAGAUACCCUGGUAGUCCACGCCGUAAACGAUGGAUACUAGUUGUUGGG